CCCUCCCUCUCCCUCUCCCUCUCCCUCUGCCCCUUCCUCCCUACUCUCUCUGAAAAAAAAAAAAUGAUAAUGUUCAAUAAUCCCAUAAAAGAUGAUGGUGACUUUGAAGAGAGCGGUAGCCACGAAUAUGGUAAGGAACGAUCAAUUGCUGGAUAUAUUUUGAAGAAAAGGAAAACUGAAUUUGCUGAAGGAUCAAAAAUAGGAUUUAAGAGAGAGGAAUCAUGGAGGACUCUAAAGAAUAGAGCUGCCAUUUGCUAAGAAGGGGAAAUUUGCCAGGAUACAAAUCUGAAGACUGGACACUCAGGAGUUGAAGAGCCAGAAGAUUCUUAAUAGGUCCUGUCUUGUGCCAGACAUUGUGGCAAGCUCUGGUCAAGCAAUUCUGAAAACAGUUCUGGGAAGCAGUUCAAAAUGAAGACGGCUGUAUUGGGUCCCAAGAGGCCUCCACUGCUGGAGGGACUGGAGAGCUGGGCCCCAGAAAGCUCUUCUGCCCCUUCAUCACAAUGGCCUUGGGAGUUGAGGGUCGCUCCAGGGCAGACUCCUCGAUUUUUAUGCAUCCCCUGAGAGUCAGAAACCUAAGGAUGCUUCCCUGGCACCACCCUCCGUGGUGGUACCAAUGAGUUCUAGCGAUGUCUGUGCUGCUGUGUCCUUGUUUAAUAUACUUCUGAGUUGGUUAUGCUUAUAAAAUACAGUACAUUCAUUUGUCGAUAAGUCUUCUUUAAAGUCUAAUUAAGAAUUCUAUGGUGGGGUGCUUGGGUGGCUCAGUCAGUAAAGCAUCUGACCUCAGUUCGGGUCAUGAUCUCGUGGUUCCUGAGUUCAAGCCCCCAUCGGGCUCUGUGCUGACAGCUCAGAGCCUGGAGCCUGCUUCAGAUUCUAUGUCUCCCUCUCUUUCUGCCUCUCU